CGUAGGGGGCAAGCGUUGUCCGGAAUCAUUGGGCGUAAAGCGCGCGUAGGCGGCCUCACAAGUCCGCUGUAAAAGUCAAAGGCUCAACCUUUGAAUGCCAGUGGAAACUGUGAGGCUAGAGUCCGGAAGAGGCGAGUGGAAUUCCUGGUGUAGCGGUGGAAUGCGCAGAUAUCAGGAGGAACACCAACGGCGAAGGCAGCUCGCUGGGACGGUACUGACGCUGAGGCGCGAAAGCGUGGGGAGCAAACAGGAUUAGAUACCCUGGUAGUCCACGCCGUAAACGAUGGGCACUAGGUGUGGGAGGUGUCGACUCCUCCCGUGCCGGCGCUAACGCAUUAAGUGCCCCGCCUGGGGAGUACGGCCGCAAGGCUA
rnacentral:rRNA from 1 species